rnacentral:misc_RNA from 1 species
CCUGCCUCAUAAAAAGCUUCAAAAUUAAUUCAUCCUAGCCAAUUCUAAUCAGCCAAAAAAUUGCAGGCCAAACAAAUAUAUUAUUGGUAACUAUAAGUCAACAUAUUCAGGUUCAAAUAAAAAGAGUUUUCUCAAGAUUCUUCUUUGCUUAAUUUACCAAGAGCUCUUUGUGCAUAUAGUUGUUUUUCCCUAGCUUCUUUAGCAGCAAGAGCUUCCUCAUCAAGUACUUGAAUGGGAGACCACUCAGGUAACUUCAGCCAACCACCUUUCUUCUCUUUGUCCCCAUAUAUGGAUUCUCUGAAGCUGGUCACUGUGGGUCUUAGCUUAAUCGUAACAAAAUCCACCAUUGUUCCCACAACAGUAAAGAUGAUCGAGUAACGGAAGGCACCGAAUUGACCACCUUGAAGACGUCCAAGAAGAGCACCACUACCAAACCCUGCAAUUGCAGAGUUCAUUAGAUCAUCAGGCUCUGAUUUCCGUGUUACCCUUACAAAUUCACGUGCCCCGCAAUAGCAACCAGUGACAAUGGCAAAAUUAGUAGCAUAAGUAGCAGAAAUGUUAGCGAGUCCAUGAACUUUUCGAUACUUAGACACCAACCCAACUCCUCCACCCGCAAUCCCUCCGAGAAGAGUGGGUAUGAAUAUACGCUCCUUCCAAUUUUCAGAUAAGGAAGAAGAUGAAGCUGGAGGCAAGGGCCGUUGAGGUGGAUCGCCUGAUACCAUUUUUAAGAAAGAGUUUAAGAAAGAGAAAAUCUAUUUCAGCUGAUGACUCAAUUGGGCAAAUCGGUGAUGAUUUCGUGAAAAAUCUUGGCAGAGAAUAGAGAUGGAGGGAAAAGGCAG